AUCGGAAAAGGAAAGGACAACAACAACAACUACCCAGUAUACUCCCAUCAGGUCAGGUAGGGUCUGGGGAAGGUAAUAUGUAGACAGCCUUACCCCUACCCAAAAGGGCAGAGAGGCUGCUUCCAAGCGACCCUCGGCGCAUAGGACAGAAUGAAAAGCACACACACUCAUCUGCACACAUCUAUCUAUAUAAUACCCACACCUCACAAACAAGAACGGAUCGGAAAAGGAAAGGACAACAACAACAACUACCCAGUAUACUCCCAUCAGGUCAGGUAGGGUCUGGGGAAGGUAAUAUGUAGACAGCCUUACCCCUACCCAAAAGGGCAGAGAGGCUGCUUCCAAGCAACCCUCGGCGCAUAUGACAGAAUGAAAAGCUACAUUGGAAAACAAAGGAAAGGACAGAUAACGAGAAAGAGAAAGGUGAGAAUUUUAUCGAGAAGAGAAAACAAAAGCACUGUUCUUAUAUACUCAAGGUUUAUUUGAAAUACUGUGGAGUUUAUGUUAUUUUAGUUUGAAGAUGGAGCUCGAGAUUUUGUUUGCGGUUUCGAAUUUAAGGUUUUAGAAAAAUUAGUAUCGCUCGCUUUAGAAUCAGUAAAUUGUGACUGUAAUUUUAUUAUAAAAUCUUUACGAAAAGAUAACAUCCGAAUCUUCAUCAAGAUAAGAUAUGAUUUGUUGGUUCUAUAUGUGUUUAUGGAGGGAUCAAGAUGGAGACUAAUUAAAGUGAUCCUUUUGUAUCAUGUCGAAUUGUCGAUAGUAUAGUGCCUAAUUUGUAUAUAAAGAUUUUGUUCUAGAUGUGUCAUUAAAUUUGUGAAAUACUCUUUAGUUUAUUUGAUUCAUGCAUUUCAGUUUCAUACGUAUAAAAGUCCAUGUUAUUCAUUAUGUUAAUUAUGUUUAAG
rnacentral:lncRNA from 1 species